AAGUAAGACCCCUGAGAGACGAUCAGGUAGAUAGGCUAGAAGUGGAAGUGGAGUGAUCCAUGGAGCGGACUAGUACUAAUCGGUCGAGGACUUAACCAC
rnacentral:rRNA from 1 species